rnacentral:SRP_RNA from 1 species
CCGUGCUAGGCGGGGAGGUAGCGGUGCCCUGUACCUGCAAUCCGCUAGAGCAGGGCUGAAUUCCCACCCUAGGAGCAGGCUUGUGAGGUCCUGCAGCCGGCGGGCGGCGAUGAGAGCCGGGUCCCGCGCAAUGGGAAUCUGUGAACCGGGUCAGGACCGGGAGGUAGCAGCCCUAAGCGGACCCUUCCAUGUGCCGCGGGGCGGCCCGGAAGGAGCAGGCCACCGGCGGGCGCUCGGAGGCUUGUCUUCGAAGGUGGGUGCACGG